UACGUAGGGGGCAAGCGUUGUCCGGAUUUAUUGGGCGUAAAGAGCGUGUAGGCGGCUUUACAGGUCCGUUGUGAAAACUCGAGGCUCAACCUCGAGACGCCGGUGGAAACCGUAAAGCUAGAGUCCGGAAGAGGAGAGUGGAAUUCCUGGUGUAGCGGUGAAAUGCGCAGAUAUCAGGAGGAACACCAGUGGCGAAAGCGGCUCGCUGGGACGGUACUGACGCUGAGACGCGAAAGCGUGGGGAGCGAACAGG
rnacentral:rRNA from 1 species